UUCUAUAUUGAGGUGCAAAAUAGCAAAAUUAGGAUUCAUAAGUCGGACACCAUAGCAUUCUUUCGUAUUCAAUUGUUUCUUGAUUUCCUGAUGGACAUGUUGUAGGCUAGGUUAGCCUUGAGGACAAUCAAGGGACUCGUAAAGCUUCAAGGUGUAAUUAGAGUCCAUAUUAUCAGAAAGCAAAAUGUAGAUAUGCUUCGUGUAUGCAUGCAAUGGCUCGAAUCCAGGCUCGAGCUUGUAAAAAUCGAGCUUAUACUUCAGAGUCUACUAAUUUGGGCACAAGUUAUUCAACUCGCAUCAACCUGGUGUUGCCAAUCUUUGAAAAUGUGAACAGAGGUCAAAUUGUCCCCAUCAUGGUGGACUAAACCAAAAGAAGCUUGAAAAAGAUUCCAUCCUCCUGCACUGUAGCUUCUUGUCGAGGACAUGCCAAUACUACACCGUUUCCCAGUCUUAUCUCAUG